rnacentral:tRNA from 1 species
GCCCCGAUGGCGCAGCGGAGAGCGCGCCUGAUUACGGAUCAGGAGGUCGCAGGUUCGAAUCCUGCUCGGGGCACGA